AUAUAAUUUCACUUCUGGUCGUAGCUGUAUCCCUUCUAUCCCUUGUACAGGUGGGUAUAUUUUUGAGUAGCCUGUUCUUAUUUAUAAACCCACUUCCCAUACUGUCCCAUUGAAUGUGUGAUUCCGUCAAGAGACUAUAAGAUGGCGUCCUGUGCACGAGAUUCAUGCUGCAAAGAAAAGCACACAUUACCUCCGUCGUCUACUCUUGAAUGACCGGCAGCGCUGUUAUGGCUGUUAUGUUGAUAAGGUACGACUAACCGUCAGGACACGCCCAGUCGAUGCCUCAGUCCUGAUCGCUGCCAGUCCUGAGUGUGCCGCUGUCCUUACUUGCCAGUGGAAUACUGAAACCUGACCUUUAAAGGGCAAAUUUUAGAAACAAGUGCAAAGAAAGACACUGACAUAAAGUUUUUAGG